AUCAACAACACCAUGUCUUUAUAGUUACUGCUGCCAUAUCUUUCUCUCCAUUAAUAAAAUAACUAUCUGGUGAGAUUAAAAAAGAAAAAAGAAAGAAAGAAAUGGAGUGUUGUUAUUACUCUUCUAAAUUAUCAUCACCAUAUCCCUCUUUUAUCCUAAAUCUUCAGGUUUCUUCAUCCCCUGUUGGCAGUAGAUUAUUCAGAAAUUCAAAUCAUCGUCGGCUGUUGUCCCCUCCACUUCCAAAACCAUUUCUUCAAAUUAAUGACACGCAAAAACUGCAAUAUCAAGAAAAAUCAGCUCCUUUUGCUUUGAAAACAUACAGAGGGCCUAUAUUAGCAGAAGCUGGAAAGCAAGGUUGGGAUUUUGGCAGAUUUGUGAAAACAUUAUAUUUCUUCAAUGGACCACCAUCUCCUGCCAAGUUCUUUGAGUUUUUAAUUGAGAAACUAUCCAGUUCAUCACCUAGCGAGCCAAAAAACGCAAUGGAAGGUUCUGGUAUUGUUCUGGUAGUUGGAGCUACAGGUGGAGUUGGCAAAAGAGUGGUUGACAUCUUAAGGAAGAAAGGAUCACCAGUUCGAGUAUUGGUCAGAAAUGCUGAGAAGGCAAGAAAACUGUUGGGCUCAGAUAUUGACUUGGUAGUUGGAGAUAUCACUAAAGAAAACACGUUGGUCCCUGAGUACUUCAAGGGGGUGAGAAAAGUUAUAAAUGCUGCUUCUGUCAUUGUUGGUCCCAAGGAAGGUGAUACUCCGGAGAGGGCGAAGUAUAGCCAAGGAAUCAAGUUCUUUGAACCAGAGAUUAAAGGUGAUUCACCUGAAAUGGUGGAAUACAUUGGGAUGAAAAAUUUGAUUAAUGCUGUGAAGGGGAGUGUUGGACUUGAAAAUGGGAAGCUCUUAUUUGGAUGUGAAGACAAUAGUUUUAAAGAUCUACCAUGGGGUGCUUUAGAUGAUGUUGUAAUGGGAGGUGUUAGUGCAAGCACGUUUCAAAUUGACACAACCGGUGGGGAAAAUAGUGGACCAGCUGGGAUUUUCAAAGGUGUUGUUUCCACUGCAAAUAAUGGUGGCUUCACUAGUGUCAGAACUAGGAAUUUUUCAGUGCCUGAGGACCUUUCUGCGUAUGAUGGUUUAGAACUGCGCCUGAAAGGUGAUGGUCGUAGGUAUAAACUUAUUGUUCGUACUAGCAGUGACUGGGACACUGUUGGCUAUACAGCAAGCUUUGACACUGUUGCAGGGCAAUGGCAAUCAAUACGUUUGCCAUUUUCUACGCUUAGGCCAAUAUUUCGAGCUCGGACUGUAUCAGAUGCUCCUGCAUUUGAUCCAAGCAAUAUUAUCUCAUUGCAGCUCAUGUUCAGCAAGUUUGAGUAUGAUGGAAAACUGAAUCCAACUUUUGUGGAGGGUCCAUUUCAGCUUCCAGUAUCAAGCAUAAAGGCAUUCAUAAAGGAUCCUAUAACUCCCAGGCUUGUACAUGUGAGCUCUGCAGGAGUAACCCGACCAGACAGGCCUGGCCUUGAUCUCAGUAAACAACCUCCUGCUGUACGCUUGAACAAGGAAUUGGAUUUUAUCCUCACAUUUAAGUUAAAGGGAGAAGAUUUGAUACGUGAAAGUGGUAUUCCAUAUGCGAUUGUAAGGCCUUGUGCUUUAACUGAGGAGCCUGCAGGAGCCGAUCUGAUUUUUGACCAAGGAGACAAUAUAACGGGUAAAAUUUCAAGGGAAGAGGUUGCUCGGAUUUGUAUUUCUGCUCUAGAAAGUCCAUAUGCACAUGACAGGACAUUUGAGGUUAAAAGUGUGAUUCCAUUCAGUGAGCCAUUUACAAUUGACCCAGAGAAUCCACCUCCAGAGAAGGAUUAUAAUGAGUAUUUUAAAACUUUGAAGGAUGGCAUUACAGGGAAAGAAUACCUAGAACGUAGUCCUGUUUCAGUCUAAUGCCCCAAGAUAACAGAUGAUAGUCUACAAAACAAUGAAGCAGAUGCUUGUAGAGAUAUCAUUAGGAGACCUAGCAACGAAAGAUAUACUGAUGCAAGGAAUAGAAGUUCGAGCUAUUUAAAUAUGAAUCUGUACAAGUACAACAUACGUUACAACAAGAAUUUUAAAGAGCAGCAUACAGUAUGCAAGUGACAAAGAUAAAAACAAAGGAAGACGGGAAACGACACAGGAUAGAGCAUCUUUGAUAGAAUUCUUACACUAUAGAAUUCCAAUGGGAAAGAAAGCAACAGUUUGUAAGGAUAACCAAACGGGAAAGAAAAAAGAGAUUGUAAAAUACAAGCUUUUUAAUCUCAUCAAAGUUUACUUAAUCAGGAGAAUCUUUUCCUGCUUUUUCUGCCAGUGGGAAGAGAUGUAUUAUGAGCAUAGAUAUUCAAUUCAGCUGAACUAUUACAAACUAGAAGCUCCAUUCUUUUAAAUUAAAAUGUGAAGGUUUGGAUGAAGUAGAAAACUUGAAAAACCUGCCAAGUGAAUAUGAAAUAGCAGAGUUGUUGAAUAUUGGCAGAUUAUAUAAGCAUUUAAAGAUUGCAGAUCUUUCAAUCUGUAUCAGUUUUACGUCA